GAACUUGUUGCUUCAGCUGUGCACAUACUAAAACUGGAACAAUACAGGAAAGGCUAGCAUGGCCCCUGCAGAAUGAUGACAUGCUAAUUUGUGAAGCAUUCCAUAUUCUU
rnacentral:snRNA from 1 species